AGGGUUGAGGCUCAAUGGUAGAGCGCUUGCCUAGCAUGUGUAAGGCACUGGGUUCAAUUCCCAGCACCACAU
rfam:Ictidomys tridecemlineatus contig017375, whole genome shotgun sequence.